rnacentral:lncRNA from 1 species
ACAUUGUGGUGCUUUCCCCGUGCAUUGACAAUGCAUGAAAUGCGAACAGCCUGUUUUGGAUUAAUUUUAAGUGCAAGAGUGCGACAUUUCCACAAACAAGCUGUGAUCAAGUCAAAUGUGGAGCAAGUGGAAAUUAGGUGGGGUGGAAUCUGUUUUCGAAGGACUCUCAUCUCCUUGGCACCAAAGUAGAAAGAUCGUUGAACCAUGUUUGACUGGUUACUGGAUGUGUAUGAACCAUUAGAAUGGUCAAUCACGUCUUCAUAUUCAUGAUGAACACAUGUAAUUCUUGGUGGAUCUCGAGCAAAUAAGAGCUCUCUCUCCCACACUGGUAGAAUAGAUGGUGCAUGUGCGCCUCUUGCCAUCUCCGCAAUGGCGGUCAGGAACAGGAGCAAUCCAGGUGCAUCGCACAUUGUGUGGUUUAUGCGCAAUGCAAGUAUGAAACCUCCACAUAUAAGACAUGUCACCUGUAUAUUGCAAAAGUUAGUUACUAGACUUUUUUCUUGAUCAUCAUAUUCAUGCUAGUUAACAAUUCUUUAAAAGAAAAGACAAAAAAAAAAAAAAAAAAACACCAUCUAAAUUAGAUGAUCUAAUUAGGAAACAAAAAUUUCAAAAAAAUUAGGAAUAAAAUUCAAGAAAGAUGGAGUCUCUUUGAAAGAGUCUUGUGCAUGUUAUAGUUACUUGAAAGAGUCUUUAAAUAUAGAGGAAUUUAGACAAAACGCUUAUAGAAGAAAAAAUUUAGACAGAAGACAAAGAGGACGACAUGACGACAGGCAAAAGACCUAGAAGAAGAACGGCAAAGAAAACCUACACAAUAAGGGUGAUGUAAGAUUGGUAGAAAACCUAGGACCUAAUUAGGCAGAUACCAUGUAGAAAUAUAAUUUCCUCUAUUCGGUGUGUAUACAAAUUUUACAAUGUAUAGGGUUAAACAUAAGGAUUGUCGAAGAAAAAUUAGUUUCGAAAAAUAAUGAAAAGCGUCUCAUAAUCUUUUCUUUCCAAAACCACCUAAUGACUUUCUUUAAUCAUAAGAACAAAAAGGCGUGGUAGUAUCGUAGAUAAGUUCAAGUUUGGGUGUGGUGGCAAUAUGAUAAAUUUUCGUUUAUGAAAAUGAUUGCCAAUUUUAUGAAAAAAGUUAAAAACAGUUGCGGUGCCACCAAACUUCAACUUAUUUACAAUAUUGUUAGUGCUUUCUUGUUUAUGUCCUUAUUUGUCAUUAAAAAUUUCAUAUGUUGUUGAUUGCACUAAAUUCUUACAAAAAAUCUUCGACGUGUGUAUGCGACCUUAACGCAAAAAACACUACUCAUACCCUUAACCUACUUCAAAGUUUUUGUAAAGAAUUCAUGGUUAUGACCAAAUAUGAAUACGAAAAACUAAUUAACAUAUUAUUAUUCACUCACCUGAACCAGCAGCAAAGGACAACUAAUAAUUCUAUCAGAGCCUGGAAAAUUAUACAAGAACUCCUCUAAGGGUGGACAAUGGGGUAGAAUUUUUUCUCCUAGUUGCUCAAGUGUGACAUCAGCAAAAGCCUCGAUGAACAAGAUACCUUCACCAUUGCAAUCGACCAUGAGCUUUCUGUUAGGCCCUUCCCUAAGCCUUCCAGCUAAAGGGUAGUAAUACACUAAUGCUCUACUUAAGGCUUCCCUGAUCACCUUAACGGGAUUAUGAUGUUUAUUAAGUGAAGGGUUGUCUUUGUAACACAUUAUGAUUGGAACCUGAAAUCUCAAACCUUCUUGGUCGUCCAUAUCUGAGAGAAACUUUGUUUCAUGAGGCGUUGGCUUUGCCGGAGUUAUAAGUUCUGGUUGCAAUCGUUUCACCUGAAUUACUGAGGAUGGCAUCAUUUCAAUAACGAGCUUAAGAACCAACAAAAGAUCAAAGGAUUUGGAACUCUUACUUUGUGGUAUGCAUGCUAACUAGAAGUUGAUAGUCGGUACUUAUAUAGCGUUAUGCAGAUGCUCUAGGGUACCCGAAUCUUCCGUCCAUGUUUCCACCCGUUGUGAAUGUGAUUCUUUUCUUUUCCAUUAAACAUGUUGUUUAGACUUCUUGUUUAUCAAAAGAUCUGAGCGUGCCACUGUUAUCUUUUUGUAUAAUAGAUUGUUGUAUAGGUGUGAAUUACGUCAAUUACUUGUGCUUCAAGUUAUUUAGACUUCUUGUUUAUCAAAGGAUUGUCAUAGAUGCGUUAAGUCUGUAUAAGGUUAUUUUCCUGCCUUGUAAAUAAUGACUUUUACUUAUAACAUUGUAUGUCCAAAAUGAAGGGAGUUCAGGGCUCUUCCAACCAUUUCCUUAAUCAAAGUUUGCUUUAAUGAAAACAAGUUCAUUAACUUAUCCAGAUUUGAUUAUAGAUGAAACUUUUGAGUGGAAAACAGUCGAAAAUGACUUAAAUACAUGAAGAAAAAUGCAUUAAACAACAAAUCUACUAUUUAUAAGUACAAACAAAAGAGAUUCGGGCAACAUUUAACCUUGUCAGGCAAGGUUGAACUUUUGCAACCACUUUACUUUGUGUUUUCAGGGGUUUGUAUACUGUCAGGGAUGAAAAGUAAAUAGGUUUUACUAGAGGGAAUCGAUGUUACAACACUAAGGGAAUGUAGCAGAGCUUCUAAACUCGACAAAAGAUGGCUUUCUAUAAGGGAACUACAGCUAAAAAGGACAAAAUCUGGACAAAUUGCAACUUUCUGGGUACGAACUUGUUUGAGAGCAAAGUUUGUAUGUCUUUUGAUUGAUUGGCUGAGUGUCCUUGUCUCUGGUGUCCCUCUAUACUUUUAUAGACAAUAUGGCCCAACUGUCCAAGCCUUGCCUUUAGCUGAUAGUUCUCGGAGGGCAGUGAGUCAUCACCUAUUUACUCAUCCAUACCCUUGAAAAGUGUUUUUUGGUUAGUGGUGAGGUGCCCUUUGUUGCCCAUCACUUCAAUCAUAGGCAUAUGGCCUAUGCCUAUGUUGAAAUAGCUUCCAAUUCUUCUCAUACCUAUUGGCUUGUCUGAGUCCAGACUUUUCCUUGCUUUUGCAUCUUUGGGCCUCCAUUAUAACAAAGCCCAAAGUCAAAUAUAAACCCAAACACAAGGAACUAACAAAUUACAUGGAACUUUUUAUUUAGAGCCUUGAUGGGCAUAUACAUGCCCUGUUUUUCCUCAGCCUGUUUACUUGCUUGAAAUUUCAUAUGCAAACAUUGCUUUGCUUCCCUCUUUUCAUUUUGGAUUUGACGGCUUGGCUACAUAGACUUUUUUUUGGGCAUGUGACUUUCUUGUUGUUCAAUUUUGUGUGAACAUUGUAAUUUACUUUAUUAUGUUUUCGGUUUGGUAGGUCGCUUAAGCUAUAUACUUGAAUUAGUGAAACUUGCUCGAUGAUGUGAACUUGAAAUACCUAUUAAUCAUAUAAGCAAACCCAAUUUUAACUUGCAAUUUUAACUUGCAAACCCAAUUAAUCAUAGUAAGAGCAAGUAUGAAGUCGUUCCCACGAGUAGGUUUUUACUUUAAUUUGAGUCUCAACUCAAAUUCAACAAACUUUUAAUACAAAUAGGGCUGAAAAUUUUACCUAGAAUGAAAGAGCCAAGGAGAUCUCAAACCCAAAAUCACGAGUAGGUGGGAAGAAUAUUUGAGUGCUUGUAAUUGUUUCUACAUAUGCUUCUACAGUAAUCAAGGAUCCUAUCAUUGUGCGUGAUUAGUUUACUUUUGUGUUCUUGAUCGCAUAUAUAUCAUUUUGCACUCAUUGGUUUGAGGAAAUUAAGGCUCAGACUUCGUGAUAUUUUCAUGGUUCUUUAAGAAAUCCAUUGAAAUCUUACUAAAUUGUCUAACAAAUGAGCAAUUUGAUUCUUACUGUUGGAGGAAAGAUUAGCAGUUUUCAAUUACACUGCAGAAAGGAAGAAUACAAGAGAAUAUAUAUGGAGGAUGACUGGAUGAGUUUUGAAUGGGAACUAAAAUUUACAUAACUUUAUUGCUUUUAGAUUUUUAUUACAACACUUGGCCAUCUUAUUGGCUAUCUAUAUUAACAUUCAGACCUUUAGAUGACAGCCAUAACUCUUGGAUUAGUUUCAAGAGACACAACUCUACAUUACAGAAAGUGCAUUACGUUUAACACUUACAUCAUUGACAUGAUCCUAGUUGAUCUAAGGUUGUUACAUAUAUCCUCCUUAGGUUCCUGAGUAAUCCUCUCUAGUUCCUGCUGAAAUCUCUCCAUGGCCGAGAAUGGCAAGCACAUUGGUACCAAUAUUCCAUCCUCAGUGUUGUUUUUGUGUUGAAUGUAGAAGCUAAUCAAAUCCAUGGCCUUGGCGGGUCCAGCAAAUACUGGCUGUCCCCAUCCAAAAUUGACAUCUCCAACACCUACACGAGUUAGAUCAGAAACUAAAAAAUUACUUCCUGUCGAUGAAUAUUGAGGUCGCCCUCUUAGUACCAAAAGAUCUGCCACUGAUCUUAAGUAUUCUUCAUUCAUGGUAGCUUUAGCCUUCUUCACCAACUCUAAAGCAUAUCCCAGUGGAUUUUUGCAUAGAAGUUCAGCCUUUGAAAUUGCAGCUGGAAAUGCAAAUGCAUUGCCAUAGUAUCCCAAGGGAAGACGUACAUUGUGGUGCUUUCCCCGUGCAUUGACAAUGCAGGAAACUCGAACAGCCUGUUUUGGAUUAACUUUAAGUGCAAGAGUGCGACAUUUCCACAGACAAGCUAUGAUCAAGUCAAAUGUGGAGCAAGUGGAAAUUAGGUGGGGUGGAAUCUAUUUUCGAAGGACUCUCAUCUCCUUGGCACCAAAGUAGAAGGAUCGUUGAACCAUGUUUGACUGGUUACUGGAUGCGUAUGAGCCAUCAGAAUGAUCAAUCACGUCUUCAUAUUCAUGAUGAGCACAUGUA